rnacentral:rRNA from 1 species
UACGUAGGGUGCAAGCGUUAAUCGGAAUUACUGGGCGUAAAGCGUGCGCAGGCGGUGAUGUAAGACAGAUGUGAAAUCCCCGGGCUCAACUUGGGAACUGCAUUUGUGACUGCAUCGCUGGAGUGCGGCAGAGGGGGGAUGGAAUUCCGCGUGUAGCAGUGAAAUGCGUAGAUAUGCGGAGGAACACCGAUGGCGAAGGCAAUCCCCUGGGCCUGCACUGACGCUCAUGCACGAAAGCGUGGGGAGCAACAGG